rnacentral:rRNA from 1 species
GACGAAGGGGGCUAGCGUUGUUCGGAAUUACUGGGCGUAAAGCGCGUGGAGGCGGUUGUCCAAGUUGGAUGUGAAAGCCUUGAGCUCAACUCAAGAAAUGCAUUCAGGACUGGGCGACUAGAGGACCGGAGAGGAUAGUGGAAUUCCCAGUGUAGUGGUGAAAUACGUAGAGAUUGGGAAGAACACCAGUGGCGAAGGCGGCUAUCUGGACGGUUUCUGACGCUAAGACGCGAAAGCGUGGGGAGCAAACAGG